UGUAGCCAUAUCAAGUAGAAACACUGAUUUCCAUUCCAUCACCAGAAUUAAGCAACAUUAAGCCUGGCCAGUAUUCAGAUGGGUGACCACUUGGGAAUACCAGGCGGUGUA